rnacentral:rRNA from 1 species
AAUUAUUAUUAGAUUUUUAAAUAAUUAUUCACGAAAUAAAUUGAGCUAAAUUUUUGGUAUUUUUGGAAAUUAUAACUAUAUGUUACAAAAUAUAUUAACUAAAUAGAUUUAGGGGUGAAAGGCCUAUCAAAUUUUAUGAUAUCUUGAAGUAUAUAAAAUAUAUCAAGUAUUUCUAAUUCAACUAUUGAAUGUUUAGGUUCAAUAGUAACAUUAUAUUUUUUAAAAAUUGUUCAAUUUUUUUAAGUAAAAUUGAGUUAGAGCAUAAAAUAUACAUCAAAUUUUUAUUAUAUGAAUAUAAAUAUACUACGGUUAUUAAUAAAUAUAAUCAUAUAUAAUGUAAUUAUUAGUAAUAGUUUAUUAAACUAUAUAAAGGAAUUCGGCAAGAAAAUUUUUCACCUGUUUAUCAAAAACAUAGCUUAUUGAAUAUCAUAAUAAGUAACCCCUGCUCAAUGGAAAUCUAAAUAGCCGCAGUACCUUGACUGUGCAAAGGUAGCAUAAUCAAUUGGCUUAUAAUUGAAGUCUGGAAUGAAUGGGUAAUCUGGAAAAUAACUGUCUUUAUUUGUAGUAUUUUGAAUUUACUUAUAAAGUGAAAAUACUUUAAUAUAAAUAUAAGACGAGAAGACCCUAGAAAUUUUUUGUUAAUAACUUUUGUUGGGGCGACAGGGUAACAUAUAAACUUACUUACAUUUAUAUAAAUCUUAUAAGGUACGUAACUAAAUUACUCUAGGGAUAACAGCAUAAUAUAUAAAAGUUUAUGACCUCGAUGUUGGACUAGGUAAUUAAAUAUUUAAAAGAUAUCUUAAUUUGCUCUGUUCGAGCAGUACCACCUACAU